AACGAACGCUGGCGGCAUGCCUAACACAUGCAAGUCGAACGAGACCUUCGGGUCUAGUGGCGCACGGGUGCGUAACGCGUGGGAACCUGCCCUUAGGUUCGGAAUAACUCCCCGAAAGGGGUGCUAUUAUCGGAUAUUGUCUUCGGUCCAAAGAUUUGUCGCCUUUGGAUGGGCCCGCGUUGGAUUAGCUAGUUGGUGUGGUAAAAGCCUACCAAGGCGACGAUCCGUAGCUGGUCUGAGAGGAUGAUCAGCCACACUGGGACUGAGACACGGCCCAGACUCCUACGGGAGGCAGCAGUGGGGAAUAUUGGACAAUGGGCGAAAGCCUGAUCCAGCAAUGCCGCGUGAGUGAUGAAGGCCUUAGGGUUGUAAAGCUCUUUUACCCGGGAUGAUAAUGACAGUACCGGGAGAAUAAGCUCCGGCUAACUCCGUG
rnacentral:rRNA from 1 species